rnacentral:rRNA from 1 species
AAUAGAUACCCGGGUAGUCCACGCCGUAAACGAUGAGUGCUAGGUGUUAGGGGGGUCCAACCCCUUAGUGCUGAAGUUAACACAUUAAGCACUCCGCCUGGGGAGUACGACCGCAAGGUUGAAACUCAAAGGAAUUGACGGGGGCCCGCACAAGCAGUGGAGCAUGUGGUUUAAUUCGAAGCAACGCGAAGAACCUUACCAGGUCUUGACAUCCUCUGACAACCCUAGAGAUAGGGCGUUCCCCCUUCGGGGGACAGAGUGACAGGUGGUGCAUGGUUGUCGUCAGCUCGUGUCGUGAGAUGUUGGGUUAAGUCCCGCAACGAGCGCAACCCUUGAUGUUAGUUGCCAGCAUUCAGUUGGGCACUCUAACGUGACUGCCGGUGACAAACCGGAGGAAGUGGGGAUGACGUCAAAUCAUCAUGCCCCUUAUGACCUGGGCUACACACGUGCUACAAUGGGCGGUACAAAGGGCAGCGAAACCGCGAGGUGGAGCCAAUCCCAUAAAGCCGCUCUCAGUUCGGAUUGCAGGCUGC